rnacentral:rRNA from 1 species
CCAGCAGCCGCGGUAAUUCCAGCUCCAAUAGCGUAUAUUAAAGUUGUUGCAGUUAAAAAGCUCGUAGUUGGAUCUCGGGCGCAGGCGGGCGGUCCGGCUCGCGCUGGAUUGCCGCCCGUUAACCUGCCCCACCCCUGCCGGCUCCCUCGCGGCGGUGUUCUUCGUUGAGCGUCCCGCGUGGCCGGCGCGUUUACUUUGAAAAAAUUAGAGUGUUCAAGGCGGGCCUGCCGAGCCCGAAUAACUGCGCAUGGAAUAAUGGAAUAGGACCUCGGUUCUAUUUUGUUGGUUUUCGGAAUCCGAGGUAAUGAUUGACGGGGACAAACGGGGGCAUUCGUAUUGCGGCGUUAGAGGUGAAAUUCUUGGAUCGCCGCAAGACGGGCUACUGCGAAAGC